GACGUAGGGGGCCAGCGUUGUUCGGAAUUACUGGGUGUAAAGGGUUCGUAGGCGGUGUGGCAAGUCGGGAGUGAAAUCUCUGGGCUCAACCCAGAGUCUGCUUCCGAAACUGCUGUGCUUGAGUGUGGGAGAGGCGCGUGGAAUUGCAGGUGUAGUGGUGAAAUACGUAGAUAUCUGGAGGAACUCCGGUGGCGAAGGCGGCCAUCUGGCCCAACAUUGACGCUGAGACCCGAAAGCGUGGGGAUCAAACAGG
rnacentral:rRNA from 1 species